GAUGAACGCUGGCGGCGUGCCUAAUACAUGCAAGUCGAGCGAACGGACGAGAAGCUUGCUUCUCUGAUGUUAGCGGCGGACGGGUGAGUAACACGUGGAUAACCUACCUAUAAGACUGGGAUAACUUCGGGAAACCGGAGCUAAUACCGGAUAAUAUUUUGAACCGCAUGGUUCAAAAGUGAAAGACGGUCUUGCUGUCACUUAUAGAUGGAUCCGCGCUGCAUUAGCUAGUUGGUAAGGUAACGGCUUACCAAGGCAACGAUGCAUAGCCGACCUGAGAGGGUGAUCGGCCACACUGGAACUGAGACACGGUCCAGACUCCUACGGGAGGCAGCAGUAGGGAAUCUUCCGCAAUAGGCGAAAGCCUGACGGAGCAACGCCACGUGAGUGAUGAAGGUCUUCGGAUCGUAAAACUCUGUUAUUAGGGAAGAACAUAUGUGUAAGUAACUGUGCACAUCUUGACGGUACCUAAUCAGAAAGCCACGGCUAACUACGUG
rnacentral:rRNA from 1 species